GCCCCGAUAGUGUAGCCCGGCCCAGCAUCUAGGGUUUUCGACCCUAUGACCCGGGUUCAAAUCCCGGUCGGGGCACCA
rnacentral:tRNA from 1 species